rnacentral:rRNA from 1 species
CCUACGGGUGGCAGCAGUGAGGAAUAUUGGUCAAUGGCCGAGAGGCUGAACCAGCCAAGUCGCGUGAGGGAAGACGGCCCUACGGGUUGUAAACCUCUUUUGUCGGGGAGCAAAGAGAGUCACGUGUGACCCAUUGAGAGUACCCGAAGAAAAAGCAUCGGCUAACUCCGUGCCAGCCGCCGCGGUAAUACGGAGGAUGCGAGCGUUUUCCGGAUUUAUUGGGUUUAAAGGGAGCGUGAGCCGCAUGUCAAGCGUGCUGUGAAAUGUCCGGGGUCAACCCGGGCCUUGCAGUGGGAACUGGCGUGCUUGAGUGCGCGGGAAGCAGGCGGAAUUCGUCGUGUAGCGGUGAAAUGCUUAGAUAUGACGAAGAACCCCGAUUGCGAAGGCAGCUUGCUGCAGCGGAACUGACGCUGAUGCUCGAAAGCGCGGGUAUCGAACAGGAUUAGAUACCCCGGUAGUC